rnacentral:rRNA from 1 species
UACAGAGGGUGCGAGCGUUAAUCGGAAUUACUGGGCGUAAAGCGCGUGUAGGCUGCCCCGAAAGUCAGGUGUGAAAGCCCUGGGCUCAACCCAGGAAGUGCACUUGAAACUUCGGGGCUUGAGUUCUGGAGAGGAUGGCGGAAUUCUCGGUGUAGAGGUGAAAUUCGUAGAUAUCGAGAGGAACACCGGUGGCGAAGGCGGCUAGCUGGACAGUGACUGACGCUGAGACGCGAAAGCGUGGGGAGCAAACAGG